ensembl:snoRNA U3 Small nucleolar RNA U3
AAGACUAUACUUUCAGGGAUCAUUUCUAUAGUCUGUGACUAGAGAAGUUUCUCUGAUCGUGUAGAGCACCGUAAACCACGAGGAGGAGACGUAGUGUCCUCCCCUGAGCGUGAAGCCGGCAUCUGGUGUCGCCUCCCGCGACUGCCGCUUGCCAUUGAUGAUCGUUCUUCUCUCCUUCCUAGGAGAGAAAGAGGGGGAGGAUGCAGUCUGAGUGG